CCUGGGGGGUAGUUAAGUGAACGAAACCCACCGGAGCCACAGUGAAAUGGAGUCUUUAUAGGGCGAUUGUCACUGCUUAUGGACACGAGCCUUUGUGAUCUAUGCAUGGCCAGGAUGAAUCUUGGAUGAAACUAAUCAGAGGUCUGAGCAUACUGAUGUUGAGAGAGUCAUCAGAUGAGUUGACUUUAGGGUUGAAAUGACACUUGAACCCAGAGCUAGCUCG
rnacentral:ncRNA from 1 species